rnacentral:rRNA from 1 species
GCGGGACACGUGAAAUCCUGUCUGAAGAUGGGGGGACCAUCCUCCAAGGCUAAAUACUCGUGAUCGACCGAUAGUGAACCAGUACCGUGAGGGAAAGGCGAAAAGAACCCCGGGAGGGGAGUGAAAUAGAUCCUGAAACCGCAUGCAUACAAACAGUCGGAGCCUGGAAACGGGUGACGGCGUACCUUUUGUAUAAUGGGUCAGCGACUUACAUUCAGUGGCAAGCUUAACCGAUUAGGGAAGGCGUAGCGAAAGCGAGUCCGAAUAGGGCGUUCAGUCGCUGGGUGUAGACCCGAAACCAAGUGAUCUAUCCAUGGCCAGGUUGAAGGUGCGGUAACACGUACUGGAGGACCGAACCCACUAACGUUGAAAAGUUAGGGGAUGAGCUGUGGAUAGGGGUGAAAGGCUAAACAAACUUGGAAAUAGCUGGUUCUCUCCGAAAACUAUUUAGGUAGUGCCUCGUGUCUCACCUUCGGGGGUAGAGCACUGUCAUGGUUGGGGGGUCUAUUGCUGAUUACCCCGCCAUAGCAAACUCCGAAUACCGAAGAGUGCAAUCACGGGAGACAGACAUCGGGUGCUAACGUCCGGUGUCAAGAGGGAAACAACCCAGACCGCCAGCUAAGGUCCCUAAGAUUGGCUAAGUGGGAAACGAAGUGGGAAGGCUAAAACAGUCAGGAGGUUGGCUUAGAAGCAGCCACCCUUUAAAGAAAGCGUAAUAGCUCACUGAUCGAGUCGUCCUGCGCGGAAGAUGUAACGGGGCUAAGCCAGUCACCGAAGCUGCGGAUGCACGUAAGUGCAUGGUAGGAGAGCGUUCUGUAAGCCUGUGAAGGUGUCUUGUAAAGGAUGCUGGAGGUAUCAGAAGUGCGAAUGCUGACAUGAGUAGCGAUAAAGGGGGUGAAAGGCCCCCUCGCCGUAAGCCCAAGGUUUCCUACGCAACGUUCAUCGGCGUAGGGUGAGUCGGCCCCUAAGGCGAGGCAGAGAUGCGUAGCUGAUGGGAAGCAGGUUAAUAUUCCUGCACCGUCGUAUGAUGCGAUGGGGGGACGGAUCGCGGAAGGUUGUCCGGGUGUUGGAAGUCCCGGUCCCUACAUUGGAGAUGGCACUUAGGCAAAUCCGGGUGCGUGAUUCAAGGGUGUGGGGCGAGCGACGUUAGGUCGCGAAGCAAUUGGAAGUGGUUCCAAGAAAAGCCUCUAAGCUUCAGUCAUACGAGACCGUACCGCAAACCGACACAGGUGGGCGAGAUGAGUAUUCUAAGGCGCUUGAGAGAACUCGGGAGAAGGAACUCGGCAAAUUGGUACCGUAACUUCGGGAUAAGGUACGCCCUUGUAGUUUGACUGGCUCGCGCCAGAAGGAUGAAGGGGUUGCAAUAAAAUGGUGGCUGCGACUGUUUAAUAAAAACACAGCACUCUGCAAACACGAAAGUGGACGUAUAGGGUGUGACGCCUGCCCGGUGCCGGAAGAUUAAAUGAUGGGGUGCAAGCUCUUGAUUGAAGUCCCGGUAAACGGCGGCCGUAACUAUAACGGUCCUAAGGUAGCGAAAUUCCUUGUCGGGUAAGUUCCGACCUGCACGAAUGGCGUAACGAUGGCCACACUGUCUCCUCCCGAGACUCAGCGAAGUUGAAGUGUUUGUGAUGAUGCAAUCUCCCCGCGGCUAGACGGAAAGACCCCAUGAACCUUUACUGUAGCUUUGCAUUGGACUUUGAACCGAUCUGUGUAGGAUAGGUGGGAGGCUUUGAAACCGGGACGCUAGUUUCGGUGGAGCCGACCUUGAAAUACCACCCUGGUUUGUUUGAGGUUCUAACCUUGGCCCGUGAAUCCGGGUCGGGGACAGUGCAUGGUAGGCAGUUUGACUGGGGCGGUCUCCUCCCAAAGUGUAACGGAGGAGUUCGAAGGUACGCUUGGUACGGUCGGACAUCGUACCUAAAGUGCAAUGGCAAAAGCGUGCUUAACUGCGAGACCGACAAGUCGAGCAGGUGCGAAAGCAGGACAUAGUGAUCCGGUGGUUCUGUAUGGAAGGGCCAUCGCUCAACGGAUAAAAGGUACUCUGGGGAUAACAGGCUGAUACCGCCCAAGAGUUCAUAUCGACGGCGGUGUUUGGCACCUCGAUGUCGGCUCAUCUCAUCCUGGGGCUGUAGCCGGUCCCAAGGGUAUGGCUGUUCGCCAUUUAAAGAGGUACGUGAGCUGGGUUUAAAACGUCGUGAGACAGUUUGGUCCCUAUCUGCCGUGGGCGUUGGAAUCUUGACGGGGGCUGCUCCUAGUACGAGAGGACCGGAGUGGACGUACCGCUGGUGUACCUGUUGUCUCGCCAGAGGCAUCGCAGGGUAGCUAUGUACGGAAGAGAUAACCGCUGAAAGCAUCUAAGCGGGAAACUCGCCUGAAGAUGAGGAUUCCCUGGAGACUUGA